rnacentral:lncRNA from 1 species
UUUUGUUCCAAGGAAACCUCAGAGUGUUUUGCUUCUCUUCCUUUUUCUGUCUGUUCUCCAUCUUUUAUAACCUGAUUUUCAUGGCUUUGUGGGCUCAACUGAGAGAGGUCCAAGUCCAAGAUUUUUCUAUUAUAUUUUAUUUAUUUAUUUAUUUAAAUUUUUUUUUUUUCGUUUUCCGUUUUUUUUUUCAUUUUUUUUUGUUUACGUUUUCUGUUUUUUUUUUGCAUAACACGUGGGCUUCGCCUAUCGAGCAUGACAGCUCAUGAACAAACCUUUGCUCCUUCAAGAUUAAC